rnacentral:tRNA from 1 species
AGUCUUAUAGUCAAAUUUUAUGAUUUUAAAUUGCAAAUUUAAAGGUGGGUAGCCCUAAGGCUU